rnacentral:rRNA from 1 species
UACGUAGGGUGCGAGCGUUACUCGGAAUUACUGGGCGUAAAGCGUGCGCAGGCGGUUUUGUAAGCCGGAUGUGAAAUCCCCGGGCUUAACCUGGGAAUGGCAUUCGGGACUGCAAGGCUGGAGUGCGGCAGAGGAGACUGGAAUUCCUGGUGUAGCAGUGAAAUGCGUAGAUAUCAGGAGGAACACCGAUGGCGAAGGCAGGUCUCUGGGCUGACACUGACGCUCAUGCACGAAAGCGUGGGGAGCAAACAGG